AACGAACGCUGGCGGCAUGCCUAACACAUGCAAGUCGAACGAACUCUUCGGAGUUAGUGGCGCACGGGUGCGUAACGCGUGGGAAUCUGCCCUUGGGUACGGAAUAACUCAGAGAAAUUUGUGCUAAUACCGUAUAAUGACUUCGGUCCAAAGAUUUAUCGCCCAAGGAUGAGCCCGCGUAAGAUUAGCUAGUUGGUGGGGUAAAAGCCUACCAAGGCGACGAUCUUUAGCUGGUCUGAGAGGAUGAUCAGCCACACUGGGACUGAGACACGGCCCAGACUCCUACGGGAGGCAGCAGUGGGGAAUAUUGGACAAUGGGCGAAAGCCUGAUCCAGCAAUGCCGCGUGAGUGAUGAAGGCCCUAGGGUUGUAAAGCUCUUUUACCCGGGAUGAUAAUGACAGUACCGGGAGAAUAAGCUCCGGCUAACUUCGUG
rnacentral:rRNA from 1 species